UCCUUACGCUGUUUGCGUAGCGCCGCAGGAUUGCUGGCCCCCUUACGCAAUUUGCGUAGCGCCGCUCCAUUGCCGGGGGUGUCCAAAAGCUCCUCCAAAAGUCAGUUUAUGGCUUUGCAGAGGGCUCUCGGGAGUCACCGAGGGGUUGAAUGUAAAGAGAGAAAAAUUAAAUCUUUAGGGGGGGAAAAAAAUUAUAACAAUUGCAUGUCUGUGUUCCCGAGGAGCCGUGGGUGUUUUUAGGCAGCUGCCUGCAGAGGCCAUCGCCGUUUCGUGAGGCGGCAUUAAUGCAGCGGGAGGAGACUUGUUCUGCUGUUCACAGAAAUUCGGAUUUUAAGGUUUUUCUCCUUGGUUUGAAGCUUCUUCAUUCUUCCUUUGCUCUCUUUCAGAGCAAAGGUUUUAAUUUUUAAACUUAAGGGGGAAAAAGUAUUAACAACAAGUGAGGAAAACUAGGGGGAAAAGGGAAAAGUUCUUCUGAAGGAUUACAAUGUGCAAGCAAAAUCAGUUCUCUCUCCAGGAGACAAAAAAUAUUAGAGGUGUAAAUUGGCUCCAAAAAUGCCCCCAGGGGCAUAGGGAGGAUAAUCAGGAUGACAUCCUGGCUGAGCACUCAGCAUCCGGGGCAUGGCCCAGGUGUGCAGGGAAAAUGCAGCUCAUCAGGCAUGUGUUAAACAGAGAAUUUGUUUCUGGUAUAAAAAGAUGCCUGACUGCUCUGUGCACACACCAAACCAGCCCUUUGUGACUUGCACGGGUUGACUUGACUUCCAGGUUUUGAGACACUAGUUUUGAUCUAAAAGCCCAGCCUAUUGCUAGUGCUGCAGAACUGUUUGUUUGAUGCAAGGAGAAAACAGGGAUUGUGGCAGGAGCCAGGUCAGGCAGAUCCCCUUCGGUGCAAAACUCCUGGAGCGAGCUGCAGCGUUUCUGUUAAGGGCCUUCUGUGUUGGAGUUGACUUCUUCCACUCCGGGACCUUUCACUUGCAAAGUACAUUAUGGGGCUCCUUUGUUUAACAAGUCUCUGGGAGCUGCGAGAGAGAGAAUUAAUGCUGGCAUUUGGAAAGACAAGUGAUAGUGCUGCAUUGGAUUUGGGUUUCAUGUCAUUAUUUUCUGGUUCUGGAGUCAGAAAAAGCUGCUCAUUUACUUUUCAUGCAGCUGUACUGUUUUUUCCUGACUUCUUGAGGAGGCAGAGCUGAUGAAAUCGUGCUGUAGAAGACAGUUUCUCAGUUAAAUGCAUUUUAUUUUGACCUAUUUCCUUCCACUUGAGUCUAACAUUUGGUCUCUUCAUAGCCAAUAUUCUGUUUUAUGGAAAGGCUUUAAAGUUUUCCUGAAGGAGAUGAGUAAAAGGUGAAGUACCCAAGACAACCUAAAUUUAUAUUAUUCCUUUUGCCAUUAUUAUUAAAAAUAGGAAAGAAGAAGUAGUGUUGGGGAAAACACAGGGAAUGCUGAUGCAAUUAUACCUACAUGUGCAAAGCUACGUGCUUGCUUUUACUCUUGAAAUUUAGACCUCUGCUUUCCUUCUACAGACUGGGACAGUUCAUUUCAGUUGCAUUUUGCAACUACUGACAUACAUGUUCAUUCCUAAAUUCACUUCAUAUGCUUCCAAAUCCUUAGGACAACAUUCAGUUUAGGCACACCAAGAAAAACCUGGAGUGAUUCCACCCACCUAAAUGUAAUUACUCAGUGCUGAAUUAAAGGCACAGGUGUGUAACUUAAGACCCAUGUGUUUGGAGUAACAAGGAGAGAUCAAAAUCUCAGCUUUUGUCAUUAAAUUCAAUGUUUCUAGACCUUAAUCCAAGACACAUUUGUAGAGAGAGGUGAUAGCUUCUUUUUAGAGGCAUUACUAUUAUUAAACAGUGUUUUCUUGGACUGCUCACAUUUUCUCCCAGCUCACCGUCUAACACUAAUCUGUGACUAAAUAUUAAAAAAAAAGUGAGCUGUGAAUGGUUUUAAGCUGAGACAAGAUUCUCACUGUUAAUGGCUUGGUCAGAGAGAGAGAGUAUUUGUUUCAGCAUGUAAAUCUCUUUCCUGCAACGCUUAAAGCUGCUGAUUCUGGAGUUUAGGAGGCCAGCGUGUCCAGAGCUGCUCUAGUCCCUGGGCUGAUGAGCUCUCCCAGCUGGGUAAAGCUCUGUCAGGAGCCAGUUUGUAGUGAAUUGACUGCAGGCAGAAAAUAUAAAAGCUCAUAGGAAACAUGAGCCUGACUCAGGAGCUAUUUCUGUUCAGGUGACAUUCUAAUCCAAGCGUGUGGUGAAUCAUUACAGCAAAAAUUGAUUGGACCCCAUAUCAAACGAGUAUUGAUAAAUAUGAAGAAGUUUGUUUUGAGUUAGUAAUAUAAGGGGUCUUUUAUAUAUAUGGUGCAUUACAACGGGGGGAUUCAGGGCUUUGUCAGACUGUCUAUAAAAAUUAAAAAAAUACAUGUUUGUAUAAAAAUCUCCGUUCUAUACUUGUGGCUUUGAAGGCCUGGGCUGUUUUUCUUUUCCUUCUGGAGUAGCUGCGAUUCAUCUCGUUCGAGUGGAGUGAAUUCAUCCCGUUUCCGAGGCCAACGGGAGGAGCGAGCGGGCGGCCAUGUUGUGCGGGGGGCGGGGAGGAAGGAGCCGAGAUGGCGGCGGCUCCCUCACCCGCACGGCACAGGAUGGCCGGGGAGCAGCGGCGGCUCCCGCACGGCUCCCGGGCGCGCUGCCCGCCGCUCGCUCGGGGGACACCCGGCCGGAUCCCCGGGUGCAGCGCUGGAGGGCCGAGUCGGGCCCGGCACCCUGGGGGCGAGCGGGGCUGCCGAGAGGGGCUGGGACGGGCGGGCAGCAAUGGCGCCGGGACUGCGAGCGCUGCCCGCGCCGCUCCCUCGCCGGGCGGGCGCGGGGCCGCCCUUGGCCGCGGGAAGGGCGAGCAUCGGAGCAGCGCCCCGUCCUCGGGGCCCCCGGUGCCGGCCAGCGGGCUGCUCUUCGCCAGAUUUGGAUUAUGGUGGUUUUCUAACCCAGCCACAGUUCUGCAGUAUAGAACAGGUUCUGGCAUACACACUGUGCCCUAAAGGAAGUUCUGGCUGUAGGUAGAAUGCCAUGAACAAUUCCUUAUUGUCUGAGUGGCUUCAGAGGAAACGUUCAUGAGUUAUUUUCUCAGCUGACCAUCUUUGACUUCAGGGAGGUUGGUCUCAGGCUCAGGAAGAAGCCGGACAGCCCUCAGGAGACAAAGCUGCCCAAGACUGUCCGGCCCCCAGGCACGAGUGAGAACUCCAGUUCCAAGGUAGCCUUUUCCUGCCCUUUUCCUUGCUGUUUGAUGUGACACUUGAAGAGGCUGCGUGCCUUGCCUCCAGCUCAUUGAAACCCCUCAGUGUGCGGGUCCUGUUGUCGUUGCAAACUGCUGGUGGUGGUGGAGUUCCUUCUGCUGGGGCAAAGGCAAAACGUGUUCUCCUAGUGAGAUGCUGGAGUCCUGAUCUGUGCUAAGCCAACACAAAUAAUUUCUGCUGAAGCUGGUGGGGUUUGCUGGAGUUUAGCUACCAUGGCGAAGGCACAAUAGCGGGGGAAGGCUGGGGCAGGACACAAGGGCACGAGCUUGCCAUUUUCCAUUGUCCCACUGAAAGAGCCACCUCUUGCUUUGGUGUCUCUCUCCCUCCAGCAUGCCUGCUGUGCCAGCGAUCAGAGGCUGACCCGGACAUCUGUGGAGAAAACCUUCAGAUAAAUGGUUUCUGUGCCCACGUGUUCUGCCUGGUUUUUGCCAGCCUCCUUCGUCAGCAAGAGAACGAUCGAGUAGGACUCCUUGGCUUUCUCCCAAGGGAGAUCCCAGAUAUAGUCUCCCAGGCAGCACAGAAGGCCCUGGGAAUUGCUCUGGUGCUCCUCCUGUGCUGCCGAGGGCACCCACAGACACUGCUCUGGCCUGAGGGACAGCAUAACCAGCUGGGAAUGUGAUGGCUGUGCUGGUCUGGGCACAGCCUCCUGAGAUGACUCAGGGCUUGCUGGUGUCAGCGUGGCCAGACAGUCAGGACUGGAGCCUUCUGACAGCUCCAGGGAACCUGAGACCAUCAGCCCCAACACAGGCAGCCUGGCGCUAUCAGGGCUGUCUCCCAGUUCUCCAGCACUGGAGACCGUCAGCCCCAGCCCCAGCGCCCAGCUGCCAUCUCCUGGAUCUGCAGCACCACAGACCAGCAACCUCCACACCACCCAGAGACCAUCAGCCCUGGGAACUGCUCCUGUGCAGAGAACACCCCGAAGGCGAAACCAGUCCCGCCAGCCAACGGGACUGGUUAAUGCAGCCAGUGCCAGGAGCCACUGGGAGGGACU